UGGAGAUUCUGCUGAUUACACUCACCAGCUACAUAAGACCCAGGCAGACAUUUACUCAAGGCCAGUUUGUUAUGUGAAGAAUCUACUCCACAUCCUUGGUCCCAUUCAUUGUAUUCUCUUUCUACUCAUCAGAUUAUUGUAAUCCUACAAGCUUCAACUACCUCUACCACACCACUCAGCCUGGGUCGUUCUACCGCCGACUCUCCAGAACAACACUCAAGCCCAGCAUUCAGCUAAAUUACUCUCCAGCUGUCCUCCAUCAUUCAGUAAUGCCUCCCAACCUAGAUCGCUCUACCACGGCUACCGCAAACGAUGCUCAACCCCAUCUCACUUGGGGUGGCUGUGGCUCAUGAGAGAUGGUGCCCUGUCCUCCACCUCAAUGGCUGAGUUUCCCUGGCCUGUGAGACAGGAUCCCUGUCUGCUCAGCUCUCCAGGUUCCAGUGGGCCUCUCAGACACCACAGUCCAGAGACGCAGCACCACAAGAUUCAAACCCCACUUAUCCUCUGUCUAUAAUAAAACUACCGUUUACUUG